UAUAAUUUCGGGCCGGACCAACUCUAAAGAGAAGUUCAGUACCACUACUGGCUGUUCUCACUCAGAUAUUGUAAGAAAAAUCUGAUCUUUGUUCUCUACCGGCGAUUCCUAUCACAUAGACGGCCAAAUGGCUCCUCUGGGCAACGGAUCAGACGCUGCAGGGGAAGCCACUGUUGCCGAUGCUGCGAAGCGCCCCAUCUCCACCAUCGUCAUCAUCAUCGCUAUGCAGACAGAAGCGCUGCCUCUGGUGAACAAGUUCCAGCUUAAGGAGGACCCCGACUCGGUGUUUCCCAAAGGAGUCCCUUGGGUCCGAUAUCAUGGUAUCUACAAAGGCCUUAAUAUUAAUAUCAUUUGGCCGGGGAAAGAUUUGACUUUGGGGGUUGAUAGUAUAGGCACAAUUUCGGCUUCUCUUGUGACCUAUGCUUCUAUCCAAGCUUUGCAGCCAGACCUGAUCAUCAAUGCAGGAACUGCUGGAGGCUUUAAGGCCAAAGGAGCGAGUGUUGGUGAUGUGUUUCUUGCAUCUGAAAUUGCCUUUCAUGAUAGAAGGAUCCCUAUUCCUGUUUUUGAUUUGUAUGGAGUUGGUUUGCGACAAGCUUUCUCAACACCAAAUCUCUUGAAGAAGCUUAACCUAAAGGUUGGCAAAUUGUCCACUGGUGACUCUCUAGAUAUGUCCUCUCGGGAUGAGGCUUCAAUUAUCGCAAAUGAUGCUACAGUUAAAGAUAUGGAGAGUUAAAAUGAUUUUUAGUUUUCGCACAAUUGGGCGGAUGUGCAUUAUGCCUGAACAUGCAAGGACGGGCUGCAAGCAGACCUACUAUUAACCAUCUUGUAAGAGAUGCUUGCAUCAGCAUAGCAAUGAAAUAUAUUGUUUGAAAUGCAUUAUCGUAAGAUGAUGCGUAACAGCAUAAGUGCUGCUGUGCUGGUUCAUGUAAUUUUACACUCUUUUUGUCUCAAUCUAGCUCAUGUUGGAGGUGGGAAUUCGGAAGUGGUUUUUACAUUAGGCCAUGCUUGGGAAGGCGUUUUGGGAGGUUGUGAUGAUGAUGGUGGGAGAGGGGGUGGAGAAAGGUGCUAUUUGCACCCUAUAUCAACUGCUUUCGAAAUAAUAUCCACAGAAGUUCUGGUUACUAUUGUCACCAAGUACAGUUUUAUGAACUGAUGUGUAUUACAAGUGCCUGACUUUUACUUAUGCAAAACUCCUCAAUCUCUAAACAAUAAUAUGUUACUUCUUCAUAAAUGUCUUCCCAUUGGCUGAAAUAUUCAUAGGACUAAGAUUUUCAUAAAUAGAUUGUUAGAUGAGAAAUUAAGAUAUAUUCUCUAGUAUUUCGAGCUUUUACCACAGGUCCACAUGUAAUGGAGUCAUAAUAGACUAUUGACUUUGUAAGUUCAAUGUAGUAGAUUGUUGACUUCGACGUUUAA